rnacentral:rRNA from 1 species
GAUAAACGCUGGCGGCGUGCCUAAUACAUGCAAGUCGAGCGAACAGACGAGGAGCUUGCCCCUUCGACGUUAGCGGCGGACGGGUGAGUAACACGUAGGUAACCUACCUAUAAGACUGGGAUAACUUCGGGAAACCGGAGCUAAUACCGGAUAAUAUUUCGAACCGCAUGGUUCGAUAGUGAAAGAUGGCUUUGCUAUCACUUAUAGAUGGACCUGCGCCGUAUUAGCUAGUUGGUAAGGUAACGGCUUACCAAGGCAACGAUACGUAGCCGACCUGAGAGGGUGAUCGGCCACACUGGAACUGAGACACGGUCCAGACUCCUACGGGAGGCAGCAGUAGGGAAUCUUCCGCAAUGGGCGAAAGCCUGACGGAGCAACGCCGCGUGAGUGAUGAAGGUCUUCGGAUCGUAAAACUCUGUUAUUAGGGAAGAACAAACGUGUAAGUAACUGUGCACGUCUUGACGGUACCUAAUCAGAAAGCCACGGCUAACUACGUG